ensembl:lncRNA
CUAGUCUGCUGUAUAUAUCUAUGGUCGGCACGUCUGGUAGCAUCUCUGACUGCUGUUGAUCUUGUUUUUGGAGUAAAACACGGUGGAAGCUGAAUUAGUGAGGAUGACUCCUGCUCCUGUCAUCUCUAAGCUCCUCACACAUCUUUACCUGCACAUGAGGAAAAUCACUCCUGUAGAAUGCAGAUGUUCAGAGGGAGAUGAUGCCACAUCUGGUCCAGCUGAUGGAAGGUCUUGAAGUUCUCUGACUGGCCUGGACUGAAGAUGGUCGUCUCACUGGAUUUAAGAUGCACAAUGAGGGACGUCUGCAGUGACUGAGAAAGAGUCUCACCACAUCCUGACAUGAGGAAAAAGACUUUAUUGAAGACUACAAUGAGAAAAACUAUCAGACAGCAGACGGCUGCAUUCAAGUUUAGGCUGUUAGAUUGUUCCAGAUAAGACGAGUACAAGAUUCUUCAGAGCCGUUCUACCACGAGCCUGACAGGAAGAACUCCAACAGCUACUGAAUGUUCCUGUGGUUCCCUCAAGGCUACAGGAGGAGUCCUACGAGGACGAGCCGGUCCACCUGAUGGUGGCCAGUCGCUGCGGGUUCAAAGCCAACACCGACUACGUGGACUUCUACUGGACCACACGGAGGCCUUCAAACCGGACCAACAAGUUCAGUGACUCCCCGACUCGUGGGUCUGAGGACGCCACUGAGCCUCGGUCCAGCCGGCCUCCUGUCUGUGGGUGUUUGAGUGCUGAGAGGUUUGUGGAUCCAUGUGAACGUUCUGUGUUGAAACAGCAGCUUUGGACUCAGUAACGCCGGGAAAAACCAAGAGCUCCUUUAUUUGUGACUUCCACUAAAAAAACUGAUGAAAAUAAGUUUGCCAGGGUUCUGACUGAUAACAGAUUAUUAAAUAAUGAAAAUAAUCGUGGAACAUACCAUUAAACUCACCUUUUAGGUCUAUAUUGGAGGAUUUUAGGUGGAAUUUUCUUCCAAACCGUCUUUUAGUCUACAUUUAAGGAUGUUUAGAAUGGUAUAUUCUUCCAAACCAACUUCUCAGGUCUACAUUUCAGGUGGAAUAUUCCUCCAUACUAACUUUUUUGGUCUACAUUGAAGGAUUUUUUCUAAACCACCCUUUCGGGUCUAUAUUUGAGGUUUUAGGUGGAAUAUUCCUUUUAAUCAGCCCCUCAGGUCUCUUUGAGGAUUUUGGAUGGAAUACUCGGUUAAACCAACAUUUUAGGUGCAUGUCCAAGGAUUCUUGGUGGAAUGUUCCUUUAAGGUGGAUGCGUGAGGACCUUGUAGGUGGAAUACUUCCUGAAACCAACCUUUUAGGUCAACAUUCAAAGAUUUAAGGUGGAAUAUUCCUUUAAACCAACCUAAAUUUCAUGUUUUGAUCAUUAUCAAGUGAGAAACCUCAAUCCAGACUCCUCAUAAUGACGUUUGAGAUUUAUGCUGCUGUUAUUUGUUUAGUCCAGACUAAAUGACAGAAAUCCACAACUGUAAUUUUAUUUCAGGACUCGGUUAUUAAAUGUCAAAACAAUCCAUGUGACUCUAAAAACUCAACAGCUUUACAAACUCUAAAGUUAAACUCUUCACAAGGAUCCAAAAUAAGUUGGACUUCUACAUGAGAGCUUUAAUUAUUCUUCAUCUACUUCCUGAAAAGUUUGGUCAAUAAAAAAGACAAAAACUAAUAUUUUCAGCUGAACUACAGACAGACUUUGUGAUUUUUCUGCUCACAUGUUGUGUUGUUGUAAACUUCCUCUUUCAAAUAAAUAUCCUCCUAACCCCCUG